rnacentral:rRNA from 1 species
UACGAAGGGUGCAAGCGUUACUCGGAAUUACUGGGCGUAAAGCGCGCGUAGGUGGUUUGUUAAGUUGAAUGUGAAAUCCCCGGGCUCAACCUGGGAACUGCAUGCAAAACUGGCAAGCUAGAGUAUGGUAGAGGGUGGUGGAAUUUCCUGUGUAGCGGUGAAAUGCGUAGAUAUAGGAAGGAACACCAGUGGCGAAGGCGACCACCUGGACUGAUACUGACACUGAGGUGCGAAAGCGUGGGGAGCAAACAGG